rnacentral:rRNA from 1 species
GACGAACGCUGGCGGCGUGCCUAAUACAUGCAAGUAGAACGCUGAAGGAGGAGCUUGCUCUUCUGGAUGAGUUGCGAACGGGUGAGUAACGCGUAGGUAACCUGCCUGGUAGCGGGGGAUAACUAUUGGAAACGAUAGCUAAUACCGCAUAAGAGUAGAUGUUGCAUGACAUUUACUUAAAAGGUGCAAUUGCAUCACUACCAGAUGGACCUGCGUUGUAUUAGCUAGUUGGUGGGGUAACGGCUCACCAAGGCGACGAUAGAUAGCCGACCUGAGAGGGUGAUCGGCCACACUGGGACUGAGACACGGCCCAGACUCCUACGGGAGGCAGCAGUAGGGAAUCUUCGGCAAUGGACGGAAGUCUGACCGAGCAACGCCGCGUGAGUGAAGAAGGUUUUCGGAUCGUAAAGCUCUGUUGUAAGAGAAGAACGAGUGUGAGAGUGGAAAGUUCACACUGUGACG